CUUGCUUGUGCAGAAAAAAACUCCUUUUAAGUAAAACCUAUAUGAGUCAGGAUAGUGUGUCUUGUAAAACUCACAAACCCUGACUUAAACCAGAAACCAGAGAUUUUUUCAAUUAUGCAUGCUAAAUGUCUUUGCAGAUUUGCCAUUACUUUCAAACUUGGAGAAAGAUGGCUGCAUCUUCGUGCUUUUCCUGAGAGUGAAUUAUUAAGAUGUUUUGUUGGGUAUUUUCUAGUGGCAAUUACUGUCAUAGGUUCAGGGUGGAUCAGGGUUGUUGAGAAAGCUGUGUGAAAUCUUCCAAAGAAGAAAGCAGUUUCUAUCCAAGCAGGAAUAUCCAACUUAAAAAU